rnacentral:rRNA from 1 species
UACGUAGGGUGCGAGCGUUGUCCGGAAUUAUUGGGCGUAAAGAGCUCGUAGGCGGCUUGUCGCGUCGACCGUGAAACCUCACAGCUCAACUGUGAGCCUGCGGUCGAUACGGGCAGGCUAGAGUUCGGUAGGGGAGACUGGAAUUCCUGGUGUAGCGGUGAAAUGCGCAGAUAUCAGGAGGAACACCGGUGGCGAAGGCGGGUCUCUGGGCCGUAACUGACGCUGAGGAGCGAAAGCAUGGGGAGCGAACAGG